rnacentral:rRNA from 1 species
GAUGAACGCUAGCGGCAGGCCUAAUACAUGCAAGUCGAACGGUGUAGCAAUUCACAGUGGCGCACGGGUGCGUACCACGUAUGCAACCUACCUAACAUUGGGGGAUAGCCUUUGGAGACGGAGAUUAAUACCGCCUAAGACAGUAGCAUGGCAUCAUGCAGCUGUUAAAGCUUUGGCGAUGAUAGAUGGGAAUACGUCCAAUUAGUUAGUUGGUGAGGUAACGGCUCACCAAGACGAUGAUUGGUAGGGGAUCUGAGAGGAUAAUCCCCCACACUGGCACUGAGAUACGGGCCAGACUCCUACGGGAGGCAGCAGUAGGGAAUAUUGGGCAAUGGACGGAAGUCUGACCCAGCCACGCCGCGUGCAGGAAGAAGGCGUUAUGCGUUGUAAACUGCUUUUUUAUAGGAAGAAGGAGACCUUGCGAGGUUUGGUGACGGUACUAUAAGAAUAAGCACCGGCUAACUCCGUGCCAGCAGCCGCAGUAAGAC